rnacentral:rRNA from 1 species
GGGUUGUGAGGUUAAGCGACUAAGCGUACACGGUGGAUGCCCUGGCAGUCAGAGGCGAUGAAGGACGUGCUAAUCUGCGAUAAGCGUCGGUAAGGUGAUAUGAACCGUUAUAACCGGCGAUUUCCGAAUGGGGAAACCCAGUGUGUUUCGACACACUAUCAUUAACUGAAUCCAUAGGUUAAUGAGGCGAACCGGGGGAACUGAAACAUCUAAGUACCCCGAGGAAAAGAAAUCAACCGAGAUUCCCCCAGUAGCGGCGAGCGAACGGGGAGGAGCCCAGAGCCUGAAUCAGUGUGUGUGUUAGUGGAAGCGUCUGGAAAGGCGCGCGAUACAGGGUGACAGCCCCGUACACAAAAAUGCACAUGCUGUGAGCUCGAUGAGUAGGGCGGGACACGUGGUAUCCUGUCUGAAUAUGGGGGGACCAUCCUCCAAGGCUAAAUACUCCUGACUGACCGAUAGUGAACCAGUACCGUGAGGGAAAGGCGAAAAGAACCCCGGCGAGGGGAGUGAAAAAGAACCUGAAACCGUGUACGUACAAGCAGUGGGAGCCUCUUUAUGGGGUGACUGCGUACCUUUUGUAUAAUGGGUCAGCGACUUAUAUUCUGUAGCAAGGUUAACCGAAUAGGGGAGCCGAAGGGAAACCGAGUCUUAACUGGGCGUUAAGUUGCAGGGUAUAGACCCGAAACCCGGUGAUCUAGCCAUGGGCAGGUUGAAGGUUGGGUAACACUAACUGGAGGACCGAACCGACUAAUGUUGAAAAAUUAGCGGAUGACUUGUGGCUGGGGGUGAAAGGCCAAUCAAACCGGGAGAUAGCUGGUUCUCCCCGAAAGCUAUUUAGGUAGCGCCUCGUGAAUUCAUCUCCGGGGGUAGAGCACUGUUUCGGCAAGGGGGUCAUCCCGACUUACCAACCCGAUGCAAACUGCGAAUACCGGAGAAUGUUAUCACGGGAGACACACGGCGGGUGCUAACGUCCGUCGUGAAGAGGGAAACAACCCAGACCGCCAGCUAAGGUCCCAAAGUCAUGGUUAAGUGGGAAACGAUGUGGGAAGGCCCAGACAGCCAGGAUGUUGGCUUAGAAGCAGCCAUCAUUUAAAGAAAGCGUAAUAGCUCACUGGUCGAGUCGGCCUGCGCGGAAGAUGUAACGGGGCUAAACCAUGCACCGAAGCUGCGGCAGCGACGCUUAUGCGUUGUUGGGUAGGGGAGCGUUCUGUAAGCCUGCGAAGGUGUGCUGUGAGGCAUGCUGGAGGUAUCAGAAGUGCGAAUGCUGACAUAAGUAACGAUAAAGCGGGUGAAAAGCCCGCUCGCCGGAAGACCAAGGGUUCCUGUCCAACGUUAAUCGGGGCAGGGUGAGUCGACCCCUAAGGCGAGGCCGAAAGGCGUAGUCGAUGGGAAACAGGUUAAUAUUCCUGUACUUGGUGUUACUGCGAAGGGGGGACGGAGAAGGCUAUGUUGGCCGGGCGACGGUUGUCCCGGUUUAAGCGUGUAGGCUGGUUUUCCAGGCAAAUCCGGAAAAUCAAGGCUGAGGCGUGAUGACGAGGCACUACGGUGCUGAAGCAACAAAUGCCCUGCUUCCAGGAAAAGCCUCUAAGCAUCAGGUAACAUCAAAUCGUACCCCAAACCGACACAGGUGGUCAGGUAGAGAAUACCAAGGCGCUUGAGAGAACUCGGGUGAAGGAACUAGGCAAAAUGGUGCCGUAACUUCGGGAGAAGGCACGCUGAUAUGUAGGUGAAGCGACUUGCUCGUGGAGCUGAAAUCAGUCGAAGAUACCAGCUGGCUGCAACUGUUUAUUAAAAACACAGCACUGUGCAAACACGAAAGUGGACGUAUACGGUGUGACGCCUGCCCGGUGCCGGAAGGUUAAUUGAUGGGGUUAGCGGUAACGCGAAGCUCUUGAUCGAAGCCCCGGUAAACGGCGGCCGUAACUAUAACGGUCCUAAGGUAGCGAAAUUCCUUGUCGGGUAAGUUCCGACCUGCACGAAUGGCGUAAUGAUGGCCAGGCUGUCUCCACCCGAGACUCAGUGAAAUUGAACUCGCUGUGAAGAUGCAGUGUACCCGCGGCAAGACGGAAAGACCCCGUGAACCUUUACUAUAGCUUGACACUGAACAUUGAGCCUUGAUGUGUAGGAUAGGUGGGAGGCUUUGAAGUGUGGACGCCAGUCUGCAUGGAGCCGACCUUGAAAUACCACCCUUUAAUGUUUGAUGUUCUAACGUUGGCCCCUGAUCGGGGUUGCGGACAGUGUCUGGUGGGUAGUUUGACUGGGGCGGUCUCCUCCUAAAGAGUAACGGAGGAGCACGAAGGUUGGCUAAUCCUGGUCGGACAUCAGGAGGUUAGUGCAAUGGCAUAAGCCAGCUUGACUGCGAGCGUGACGGCGCGAGCAGGUGCGAAAGCAGGUCAUAGUGAUCCGGUGGUUCUGAAUGGAAGGGCCAUCGCUCAACGGAUAAAAGGUACUCCGGGGAUAACAGGCUGAUACCGCCCAAGAGUUCAUAUCGACGGCGGUGUUUGGCACCUCGAUGUCGGCUCAUCACAUCCUGGGGCUGAAGUAGGUCCCAAGGGUAUGGCUGUUCGCCAUUUAAAGUGGUACGCGAGCUGGGUUUAGAACGUCGUGAGACAGUUCGGUCCCUAUCUGCCGUGGGCGCUGGAGAACUGAGGGGGGCUGCUCCUAGUACGAGAGGACCGGAGUGGACGCAUCACUGGUGUUCGGGUUGUCAUGCCAAUGGCACUGCCCGGUAGCUAAAUGCGGAAGAGAUAAGUGCUGAAAGCAUCUAAGCACGAAACUUGCCCCGAGAUGAGUUCUCCCUGAGACUUUAAGUCUCCUGAAGGAACGUUGAAGACGACGACGUUGAUAGGCCGGGUGUGUAAGCGCAGCGAUGCGUUGAGCUAACCGGUACUAAUGAACCGUGAGGCUUAACCUUACAACGCCGAAG